UAAUUGAAGAGUUUGAUCAUGGCUCAGAUUGAACGCUGGCGGCAGGCCUAACACAUGCAAGUCGAGCGGUAACA
rnacentral:rRNA from 4 species